rfam:Solanum tuberosum cultivar DM 1-3 516 R44 scf00272_52, whole genome shotgun sequence.
ACAUCAGUUGUCUAGUGGUAGAAUAGUACCCUGCCACGGUACAGACCGGGUUCAAUUCCUGGCUGGUGCA